UGGGGAAUAUUGGACAAUGGGCGAAAGCCUGAUCCAGCCAUGCCGCGUGUGUGAAGAAGGUCUUCGGAUUGUAAAGCACUUUAAGUUGGGAGGAAGGGCAGUAAGCGAAUACCUUGCUGUUUUGACGUUACCGACAGAAUAAGCACCGGCUAACUCUGUGCCAGCAGCCGCGGUAAUACAGAGGGUGCAAGCGUUAAUCUGAAUUACUGGGCGUAAAGCGCGCGUAGGUGGUUCGUUAAGUUGAAUGUGAAAGCCCCGGGCUCAACCUGGGAACUGCAUCCAAAACUGGCGAGCUAGAGUAGGGCAGAGGGUGGUGGAAUUUCCUGUGUAGCGGUGAAAUGCGUAGAUAUAGGAAGGAACACCAGUGGCGAAGGCGACCACCUGGGCUCAUACUGACACUGAGGUGCGAAAGCGUGGGGAGCAAACAGG
rnacentral:rRNA from 1 species